ACGAACGCUGGCGGCACGCUUAACACAUGCAAGUCGAACGAGAGAAGAGAAGCUUGCUUUUCUGAUCUAGUGGCGGACGGGUGAGUAACACGUGAGCAAUCUGCCUUUCAGAGGGGGAUACCGAUUGGAAACGAUCGUUAAUACCGCAUAACAUAAUUGAACCGCAUGAUUUGAUUAUCAAAGAUUUAUCGCUGAAAGAUGAGCUCGCGUCUGAUUAGCUAGUUGGUAAGGUAACGGCUUACCAAGGCGACGAUCAGUAGCCGGACUGAGAGGUUGAUCGGCCACAUUGGGACUGAGACACGGCCCAGACUCCUACGGGAGGCAGCAGUGGGGAAUAUUGCACAAUGGAGGAAACUCUGAUGCAGCGAUGCCGCGUGAGGGAAGAAGGUUUUAGGAUUGUAAACCUCUGUCUUCAGGGACGAAAAAAGACGGUACCUGAGGAGGAAGCUCCGGCUAACUACGUGCCAGCAGCCGCGGUAAUACGUAGGGAGCGAGCGUUGUCCGGAAUUACUGGGUGUAAAGGGAGCGUAGGCGGGAUCGCAAGUCAGAUGUGAAAACUAUGGGCUUAACCCAUAAACUGCAUUUGAAACUGUGGUUCUUGAGUGAAGUAGAGGUAAGCGGAAUUCCUAGUGUAGCGGUGAAAUGCGUAGAUAUUAGGAGGAACAUCAGUGGCGAAGGCGGCUUACUGGGCUUUAACUGACGCUGAGGCUCGAAAGCGUGGGGAGCAAACAGGAUUAGAUACCCUGGUAGUCCACGCCGUAAACGAUGAUUACUAGGUGUGGGGGGACUGACCCCUUCCGUGCCGCAGCAAACGCAAUAAGUAAUCCACCUGGGGAGUACGACCGCAAGGUUGAAACUCAAAGGAAUUGACGGGGGCCCGCACAAGCAGUGGAGUAUGUGGAUUAAUUCGAAGCAACGCGAAGAACCUUACCAGGUCUUGACAUCGUAUGCAUAGCUCAGAGAUGAGUGAAAUCUCUUCGGAGACAUAUAGACAGGUGGUGCAUGGUUGUCGUCAGCUCGUGUCGUGAGAUGUUGGGUUAAGUCCCGCAACGAGCGCAACCCCUAUCCCCAGUAGCCAGCAGUCCGGCUGGGCACUCUGAGGAGACUGCCAGGGAUAACCUGGAGGAAGGUGGGGAUGACGUCAAAUCAUCAUGCCCCUUAUGACCUGGGCCUCACACGUACUACAAUGGCUGUCAACAGAGGGAAGCAAAGCCGCGAGGUGGAGCAAACCCCUAAAAGCAGUCUUAGUUCGGAUUGUAGGCUGCAACCCGCCUACAUGAAGUCGGAAUUGCUAGUAAUCGCAGAUCAGCAUGCUGCGGUGAAUACGUUCCCGGGCCUUGUACACACCGCCCGUCACGCCAUGGGAGUCGGUAACACCCGAAGCCUGUAGUCUAACCGCAAGGAGGACGCAGUCGAAGGUGGGAUUGAUGACUGGGGUG
rnacentral:rRNA from 1 species